AGAAACUGGGGUGACCAGGUAGGAAGGAAAGGAGGCAUUUGCUGUCUGCUGGAAAAGGUUUGCUGGCCUUAGACAUCUAUGCAUUCAGGAUCAUGCACACUCAAGGCUGGGGAAAUUUCUCUAUGUCAGCCUGGUGAGGGACACCCCCGCAGUCUGAAGGAACCAACUUCCAGGAGGAAAAAUGGUACUUCCCAGGUACCUUGGAUUUUCCCGCUAGGAUCUGACUCGACCUGCUUCAGCUUUCCUGCAAGGGAUAGAAGACAAUG